GAGAACGCUGGCGGCGGUGCUUAACAACAUGCAAGUCGAACGGGAGGUAUUGUAAGAAGCUUGCUUUAGUAGAUACUUUAGUGGCGGACGGGUGGAGUAACGCGUGAGGAGCUGUCCUAUGCAGGGGGACAACAGCUGGAAACGGCUGCUAAUACCCCAUAAGCCGAGAGGUAAAAGGAUCAAUCCGGCAGAGGAGGUACUCGCGUCCUAUCAGCUAGUAGGUGAGGUAACGGCUCACCUAGGCGAAGACGGGUAGCCGGCCUGAGAGGGCGAACGGCCACACUGGAACUGAGAUACGGUCCAGACUCCUACGGGAGGCAGCAGGUGGGGAAUAUUGGGCAAUGGGGGAGACCCUGACCCAGCGACGCCGCGUGAGGGAUGAAGGUUUUCGGAUCGUAAACCUCUGUUGUACGGGAAGAAGGAUGUGACGGUACCGUACGAGAAAGCCCCGGCAAACUACGUGCCAGCAGCCGCGUAAUCUAGUCUACG
rnacentral:rRNA from 1 species